rnacentral:rRNA from 1 species
UAAGACAGAACCCCCAAGCGUUAUCCGGAUUUAUUGGGCGUAAAGGGUCCGUAGGCGGUUUAGCAAGUCCAGCGUUAAAUACCUCGGGCUCAACCUGAGGGGUGCGCUGGAAACUGCUAAACUAGAGGGCGUUAGAGGCUGGCGGAACUCACGGUGUAGGGGUGAAAUCCGUUGAUAUCGUGGGGAACACCAAAAGCGAAGGCAGCCAGCUGGGGCGACCCUGACGCUGAGGGACGAAAGCGUGGGGAGCAAAAAGGAUUAGAUACCCUUGUAGUCCACGCCCUAAACGAUGGACACUGGCUGGUGCAAGUGUCGACCCUUGCACUGGCGAAGCUAACGCGUUAAGUGUCCCGCCUGGGAAGUACGGUCGCAAGGCUG